UACAGAGGUCUCAAGCGUUGUUCGGAUUCAUUGGGCGUAAAGGGUGCGUAGGUGGCGCCGUAAGUCGGGUGUGAAAUUUCGGAGCUUAACUCCGAAACUGCAUUCGAUACUGCGGUGCUUGAGGACUGGAGAGGAGACUGGAAUUCAUGGUGUAGCAGUGAAAUGCGUAGAGAUCAUGAGGAAGACCAGUGGCGAAGGCGGGUCUCUGGACAGUUCCUGACACUGAGGCACGAAGGCCAGGGGAGCAAACGGGAUUAGACGCACCCAGUAGU
rnacentral:rRNA from 1 species